GGGACACGUGGUAUCCUGUCUGAAUAUGGGGGGACCAUCCUCCAAGGCUAAAUACUCCUGACUGACCGAUAGUGAACCAGUACCGUGAGGGAAAGGCGAAAAGAACCCCGGCGAGGGGAGUGAAAAAGAACCUGAAACCGUGUACGUACAAGCAGUGGGAGCCUCUUAAUGGGGUGACUGCGUACCUUUUGUAUAAUGGGUCAGCGACUUAUAUUCUGUAGCAAGGUUAACCGAAUAGGGGAGCCGAAGGGAAACCGAGUCUUAACUGGGCGUUAAGUUGCAGGGUAUAGACCCGAAACCCGGUGAUCUAGCCAUGGGCAGGUUGAAGGUUGGGUAACACUAACUGGAGGACCGAACCGACUAAUGUUGAAAAAUUAGCGGAUGACUUGUGGCUGGGGGUGAAAGGCCAAUCAAACCGGGAGAUAGCUGGUUCUCCCCGAAAGCUAUUUAGGUAGCGCCUCGUGAAUUCAUCUCCGGGGGUAGAGCACUGUUUCGGCAAGGGGGUCAUCCCGACUUACCAACCCG
rnacentral:rRNA from 1 species